UGGGGAAUAUUGCGCAAUGGACGAAAGUCUGACGCAGCGACGCCGCGUGAGGGAUGAAGGUUUUCGGAUCGUAAACCUCUGUCAGGAGGGAAGAAAGCGCAUGGCGCCAAUCAGCCAUGCGUUGACGGUACCUCCAAAGGAAGCGCCGGCUAACUCCGUGCCAGCAGCCGCGGUAAUACGGAGGGCGCGAGCGUUAAUCGGAAUUACUGGGCGUAAAGCGCGCGUAGGCUGUUGUGUAAGUUGGGGGUGAAAUCCCACGGCUCAACCGUGGAACAGCCCUUGAUACUGCGCGACUUGAAUCCGGGAGAGGGUGGCGGAAUUCCAGGUGUAGGAGUGAAAUCCGUAGAUAUCUGGAGGAACAUCAGUGGCGAAGGCGGCCACCUGGACCGGUAUUGACGCUGAGGCGCGAAAGCGUGGGGAGCAAACAGG
rnacentral:rRNA from 2 species